AGAAACGCAGCAUAGAUAACCUUUCGCAGAAUAUCAUCAUAUACACACCCGAAGUAUGUAACGAUAAUAUCCCACCAGGGUCUGAACUGCUCGUGAUAUCAAUGUUCCGCUAAGUGGCGCAUACCACCCGCUUCCCAUGAAUCACUCUAUUCCUAGGUUUCCUAGAUUUCACUCAUAGCCUGGGUAUUGGGCCUUUUACCUCG
rnacentral:lncRNA from 1 species